AAGACCUUGCACUUUUGGAGCGGCCGAUGUCUGAUUAGCUAGUUGGUGGGGUAAUGGCCCACCAAAGCUUCGAUCAGUAGCUGGUCUGAGAGGACGGCCAGCCACACUGGGACUGAGACACGGCCCAGACUCCUACGGGAGGCAGCAGUGGGGAAUUUUGGACAAUGGGCGCAAGCCUGAUCCAGCCAUGCCGCGUGAGUGAAGAAGGCCUUCGGGUUGUAAAGCUCUUUCAGGCGGGAAGAAAAGGUUGCGACUAAUAAUCGCAAUUCAUGACGGUACCGGAAGAAGAAGCACCGGCUAACUACGUGCCAGCAGCCGCGGUAAUACGUAGGGUGCGAGCGUUAAUCGGAAUUACUGGGCGUAAAGGGUGCGCAGGCGGUUUUGUAAGUCAGAUGUGAAAUCCCCGGGCUUAACCUGGGAACU
rnacentral:rRNA from 1 species